CGCCGGUCACGUCGGCAAGUCUGGGCCUCGCCGCACCGCCCGCUCCCCCCGCGGUGCCGCCGGCGCCUCGGGGUCGGCCGGCCGGGCUGGGAGCGCCGGCAGCCCGCUCAGCUAAAUCGGGCUCUCUGUCUCUGCCUGGCGUCCUCUCCCGUCCCGCUGGCGUGUGCCUUCCCCGCACAAACGAGUGAAAAAGGCUGCUGCAGGUGCAAAGGGAUGAGAGAACGCUGGCUCAUAUCAGUAUAAAAACAAUGAAGAGUGUCUCACCGAAGUGAUCCAGCUCCCAGAAUAACCUCUCGCCAUGCUCUGUUGAUCCCAGCAAUCAGCAAUGCACUAGGGCUUUACCUCAGAACUUCGAUCUUCCUUUAAACAGUGGAAAAUGGAGAAGAGUGAUCAUGGAAUCAUAGAAUCACAGAACGUCAGGGGCUGGAAGAGACCCUGAAAGCUUAUCCAGUCCAACCCCCCUGGCAGAGCAGGAUCACCUGGAGCAGAUCACACAGGAACACGUCCAGGCAGAUUUUAAAUAUCUCCAGAUAUUUUAAAUAUUUAGAUAUUUAAAUAUCUCCAGAGAGGGAGACUCCACAACCCCCCUGGGCAGCCUGUUCCAAUGUUCUGUCACCCUCACAGGGAAAAAAGUCCUCAUGUUUAAAUGAAACUUCCUAUGCCUCAGCUUCCUCCCCUCGUCCUGUCAUCAGGCAUCACUGAGCAGCACCUGGCUCCAGCCUCCUGGCACUCACCCUGCACGUAUUUAUAGCCACUGAUGAGGUCACCUUUCAGUCUCCUUUUCUCCAAGCAGCACAGCUCCAGAUUCCGUGGUCUCUCCUAGUAAGAGAGAUGUUUCAUUCCCUUCAUCAUCUUUGUGGCUCUGUGCUGGAAUGUCUCAAGCAGUUCUGUGUCCCUCUUGAACUGGGGGGCCCACAGCUGGACACAGUACUCCAGAUGUGGUUUCACCAGGGAUGAGGAAAAGGGCAGUGCAGGAAAAAGGAAGACUGCCAGAAGAUACUCUGCUAUUUUCAACCCCGACGCUUCAAAGCUCGACAGGUCAAACAAGCCCUGUCUGAAAGUGAUGAAGGUCCCCGUCGCUCUCAGCG